UACGUAGGGUGCGAGCGUUGUCCGGAAUUAUUGGGCGUAAAGCGCGCGUAGGCGGCACGGCAAGUCGGGAGUGAAAGCCCGGGGCUCAACCCCGGAGGGUCUUCCGAAACUGCCGGGCUAGAGUGCGGAAGAGGCAAUCGGAAUUCCCAGUGUAGCGGUGAAAUGCGUAGAUAUUGGGAAGAACACCGGAGGCGAAGGCGGGUUGCUGGGCCGACACUGACGCUGAGGCGCGAAAGCCAGGGGAGCAAACGGG
rnacentral:rRNA from 1 species